AGCAAUUUGAUAUAGGUUAUAUAUGUGCAAUCAUGUAAAACAUAUUUUCAUAUUAGUCACAGUUGUGAAAGAAGAAAUGGACCUAAAGGAAAAAACCAUGAAAAAAUAAAGUAAGUGCAAAAAGAGUGCUUUGAUCUGCAUUCAGACUCCAUAGUUCUCUCUCUGGAUGCAGUUAGCAUUUUCCAUCGUGAGUCCUUUGUCACUGUCUUAGAUCAUUGUGUUGCUGAGAAGAGCUAAGUCAUUCAUAGUUGAUCAUCACACAAUGUUGCUAUUACUGUGUACGAUGUUCUCCUGGUUCUGCUCAUUUCACUUUGUACCAGUUUGUACAAGUCUUUCCAAGUUUUUUCUCCUUCUUAUACAGCGGCUAAGAACUCCCACCUCAAGAUGUUUCCCCUCAACUUCACUAUCACCAACAUGUUCUACACAGAAGACAUGGGUGAGAGAGGCUCCAACAAAUUCAACACCACUAAGAAUGCCCUACAGUUUGUGGUGAGACUCCCCCCAACUCUUCUUGCAAACCCCUCUCUGCCUAGCUUGCCUUCCUCAGCCUUGGGGAUGCAGGCCGGGUCUAUGCAGGUACUCAGCAGUUCCCCUCUCUCCUUCUGUUUCCAGCUCAACUUCCUGUUUAGGAAGGGCAGCCUCGGCUCUCACUAUUCCGGAUGCAGUUUGAUGUCGCUGAGGUUAUAACUGCAAGAUGCCAACCUCCUCCACAAGCAGUAAGUUUUUAUUGUCUUUAUUUCUCUAUUUUCUGGGACACUACAGAGAAAGGAGAGUUCUUUCCCCCAACCUUUUUUUUUAGCCUUUUGGGAGGGGUAUAGGGCAGAGGAGCAAUAAUAUUAGAUGUCUAGAUGUUUAGAUUUAUUUGCUCAUUUGCUUAUAAUUUU
rnacentral:lncRNA from 1 species